GCUUCCGUGGCGCAAUUGGCUAGCGCGUCUGACUGUUAAUCAGGAGGUUGGUGGUUCAAGCCCACCCGGGAGCG
rfam:Mucor circinelloides f. circinelloides 1006PhL unplaced genomic scaffold supercont1.76, whole genome shotgun sequence.